UUCGGAUAUUCGUUCGGUUCCUAGUACGGAAUGAUUCAGUUUAAGUUUGUUUGGUUCUUAAAUUAUCAUCUAUUCGAUUAGUACGUUAAUUUUAUUCCAGUUUUGGCUCUCCAUGGUUUGGUUUAGUUUUUUUUAAUUUAGAUACUCUAUUAACUAAAAUCGGAUAUCUUAUGUAACGUAAUUAUUUUGAAAAAUGUUAUAUUUGUGUGUUCCUUUACUAAUAAAAAGAUGAAUAACAGAGUGUCAAAGAAAGAAAGAAAAAAAAGGAAAAAAGUGUCAAAGAUGUUAUUUUAUCAUAUUCAUAAUUCUUUAGCGCAGGUGAUAAUUCAUUUCGACACCAAUUGAGAUAAAUCCAUUUUAUUUUUAUAGAACUUAAGAAUUCUUAAAUCGUAAUUAAUUUGAGUAUGCCAUUUAUGUUUCAAUGGCUCAUCCUGCUACUGUUGCUAAAAAAGCUUUAUUCCUUUUUCUUGUUGCUGUAGUUUUUGUUUAACUAAAUUAUUUAACUUUUUUCGGUUCAAUAAUUCUUUUUCUAAAUAUUUUCUUUUGCAAAAAAAAGAAAUACCCUCAAAUAGCAGUAAACUAAGUAUUUUAGAUAAUUAUAACACACACUCCAUAAAUUACCAUAAAACACUAAUUUUUAGAAUUUUUGUUUAAUGUCAAAGUCGACUAUUUUACAUUUAGGGUAUAAAUUUUUUAAGAGGUAGGGUUUAGUGUGUAAAGUUUAGAAUUUAAUUUUGAAAGUUUAAUCAUGAAAUAUAGCGCUAUCUUUGGAACUUUGUGGAGUAUGUGCUAAAUUUGGAAACAAAACUUAUUUUUGUGAUAUUAACGAGAAUUGCCCAUAUUAAACAAAACAAAGAUAAAUGAUGCUUGAAAGUCGAACAUAAGGAAGUAAGGGCUACAUUUAACCCACAAUUAAGGAAUUUGUUGUGAUUGGGUAAUGAUUUUUUUUCAUGUUGUUUUAUUUAUUUUCUUAUUUGUGAGUUUUGUGACGUCCAAAUUUGUGUUGUGUUUAGUUUUGACGUGCCUAUUGUAUGUAAAAAUUUUGUUGAUUUGCGUGCGUCACUUGACGUGUAUUUGUCUUGUUGUGUAAUUUGUAUUGUGUAUUUAGUUUCGUGCAUGUGAAGUAUUUUGUUACGUGUGUUGAGUUUGUUGUUUGUGGUGUAUUUGUUUUGUUGUGUUUGUAUUGUGUAUUUUAGUUUCGUGCAUGUGAAGUUUUUGUUACGAGUGUUGAGUUUGUUGUUUGUUUACUUUGUGGUGUUUUAGUGUGCGGAGUGCGGACUAUAGAAUUAAGAGAUUUGAGGAAAGAGAGAGA
rnacentral:lncRNA from 1 species